rnacentral:rRNA from 1 species
GAUGAACGCUAGCUACAGGCUUAACACAUGCAAGUCGAGGGGUAACGAGAGGAAAGCUUGCUUUCCUUGUCGACGACCGGCGCACGGGUGAGUAACGCGUAUCCAACCUGCCCCCAACUAGGGAAUAACCUUGCGAAAGUAAGACUAAUACCCUAUAAUUUCCUCAGAUGUCAUCUGACGAGGAAUAAAGAUUUAUCGGUUGUGGAUGGGGAUGCGUCUGAUUAGCUUGUUGGCGGGGUAACGGCCCAACAAGGCAACGAUCAGUAGGGGUUCUGAGAGGAAGGUCCCCCACAUGGGAACUGAGACACGGUACAAACUCCUACGGGAGGCAGCAGUGAGGAAUAUUGGUCAAUGGGCGGAAGCCUGAACCAGCCAAGUAGCGUGCAGGAUGACGGCCCUAUGGGUUGUAAACUGCUUUUAUACAGGAAUAAAGUUAGCCACGUGUGGUUAUUUGUAGGUACUGUAUGAAUAAGAACCGGCUAAUUCCGUGCCAGCCGCCGCCGUAA